CAAGACAAAUGUGGUGCCUUGGAAAAUUCCUUCCUUUAGCUCUCGGCAGUGCCAUUCCUCAGGAUGAAGAAAAGUGGAUGCAUUUUCUGUUGCUCCUUAAAAUUGUUGACAUUGUUUUUUCACCAAUCACAAACACUGAUGAACUUGCUAUCCUGGAAGGAUACCUGAAGGAAUUUUGUGGAAAUUCACCCAGCUUUAUCCUGGGCUUUCAGUUAUACCCAAGAUGCAUUACUUGGUUCAUUACCCAGCUCAUAUUUACAGAUUUGGACCAAUGAUUCGGAGCUGGUGCAUGCGAUAUGAAGCAAAGCACAGUUACUUUAAAAGAUUGGCUUCAUACCUUGGAAACUUCACUAAUGUUGCACUUAGCCUUGCUGAACGACAUCAAACCAGAAGUUGCUAUCUAAGAAAUCAACCCAUUGCAAAAAAGCCUAAAAUUGAUUCUGCAAAAGAAAUUGUUGCUAAGGAUAGUGAACAUUAUUAUUUGCUCAAAGAGAAGGAACCUAACUUAAGUGACAUUAGUAUUUUGUCAAGCGUCCAGCGUCUUGGAAAGCCACAAAGAUGUGAGUUGGCAGCUCUUCAUUACUGUUUGUUGUUACAAACUACGAUCCAAUGGUCUGAUUAUGGCCAAAUCGUUUUUGGUUAUACGACUUUGCUCGAAAUACAGCACGCGUGUGUAUCCAGCGACCAACUUGCUUUCUAUCAUAUUCUGCACUUCGAUUGAAGGCCUGAUGAAAGGAACCCAAAGCGAAAGAUGAAUAUGCGAAAGGCAUAUUUUAAGAUGAACUCAAACUUUCAAUGCGUUAUUUAAAUCUCUACCUUCCUACAUACACGAAGAAUAUUUGCCGAAAGCGAAAUAUAUCUUUGACUUUUCGAUAACAUGUUCAGACGUGACAUUUACUGUUAAUGCGAUCGAAAAACAUAGAACAAAUGUUGGUGGUUUUAAUUCACCAUGAUGUAGGACUUAUAUAGAUAAAGAAAUUGAUUAUUGACCACGAUGAAAACGUAUUUGGCUUUUGUUCACCAUUCCCUUGAGGCUGAGCUAUUUACGAAUUGAUAUUCUACUUCGUCUGAACUGCUUUAUAACUGAGGAGAUAUGAAGAUGAUCACGAUUCUUGUCUCGACAAUUGAUCGAAAGACAAGUCACUUUUAACCAACGAUUUAUGAUGGUAAGAUUUUUACAGCAACAAAAUAAACUCAUGAGAAAGUU